rnacentral:lncRNA from 10 species
AGGGAGGUGGCUGUGGGUGGUGAGAAGCAGCCAUAUUCCACAGUCCCUGGGAAUCUGAGGGAGGGCCUGCCAGAUUUGCUGUGGCUUGGAUGAAGGCAUGAGAGAAAGACCCAAGGUCAACCCCAAGGCUUGUGUAGUAGGAGGAGGUCAAGGUCUGAGAUGGAAAGACUGAGGCAGGAGCAGUUUGCAGAGAAAGAACAGAGCCCAGUUUUCAACGUGUGGAGUCUGAGAUACGACAUCCAGGGCCCUGGAGCCAGGGGGAGUUCUGGCUGGAGACAUACAGUCGGGAGCCCUUGAUAUCUAGAUGGUAUUUAAAGCUGUUGUCUGGACAAGGUUGCCUGGAACAGGCCUUCUCAAA